rnacentral:ncRNA from 1 species
GUUUCAGGGCGGGGUGAGAUUCCCCACUGGCGGUAACCGCAGGAGAUGCGGAAGCCCGCAACCCGCGAAUACGCGGCCGACCCGGUGAGAGUCCGGGGCCAACGGUACAGUCCGGAUGGAAGAAA